rfam:Cricetulus griseus cell line CHO-K1, whole genome shotgun sequence.
UACUGAAUCUAAUGUUUAAAGAGGCCAAGACACUUAAGCAUGGCCAAUAUGCAGUAUGUAAAAAUACUCCUUUAAAAGCUUGCCUUGUAAUUCAAGCCACUUUCAUGUGGAGCAUCAAAAUUCUUGUUUCUCUGUAUGCUUAUACAGAAAAAAGUAUCAACCUGAGGCCCCACAUCAUUUGCCCAUGUAUUAGAAAGCAUUCAAGAGGUAAUCGGAAGGAAACCAUAAUCUAUUUCUGGUAUCAAGGGGUGAUGGAAAAGGAGAAAAAUGGAAAUACAAACUGUGUGCAGGAUCUGCUCUGAACUGUAAACAUCAAUGUGGAAUUUUUGGCAGAUGAUAUGGUUCUAUUUUGUUGGUUUUCAGAACUAAGGCCAUAAUUAAGAGGAAUGCUUGGGGGCAUUAAUAUUGUGUCACUAAAGGUGAAAUUCUUGGACUGGUGCAUGACGGACCAGAGAGAAAGCAUUUGCCAAGAAUGUUUUCAUUAAUCAAGAAAGACAGUCGGAAUUUCAAGGACGAUCAGACACUGUCGUAAUUCCCACCAUAAAUGAUGCUGACUGUGGAUGCAGCGGCGUUAUUCCCUUGAUCCCCGGGCAGCUUCCAGGAAACGUAAGUCUUUGGGUUCUGGUGGGAAUAUGGCUGCAAAGCAGAAACUUAAAGUAAAUGAUGGAAGGGCACCACUAGGAGUGGAGCCUGCAGUUUAAUUUGACUCAACACGGGCAACAUCACCCAGUCCUGAUAUGGACAUGAUUGACAGAUUAAUAGCUCUUUCUCAAUUCCGUCGGAGGUGGUGCAUGGCUGUUCUUAGUUGGUGGAGCGAUUUGUCUGGUUAGUUCUGAUAAGGAAGGAGACUCUGGCAUGCUAACUAGUUAAGCGACCCUGAGCUGUCAGCAUCCCCCAACUUCUUAGAUUGAGAAAUAACAGGUCUGUGAUGGCCUUAGAUGUCUGGGCUGAACACACACUACACUGACUGGCUCAGCAUGUGCCUACUUUAUGCUGGCAGGCCUGGGUAACCCGUUGAUGGGGACCAGGGAUUGCAAUUAUUCCCCAUGGACAAGGAAUUCCCAGUAAGUGCGGGCCACAAGAUUGUGUGGAUUAAAUCCCUGCCCUUUGUACACACAACCCAUCACUACAGUUGGAUGAUUUAGUGAGGCCCUCAGAUCGGCCCUGCUGGGGUUGGCCCAUGGCCCUGGCUGAGUGCUGAGAAGACAGUCAAACAUGACUACCUAGAGGAAGUAAAAUUUGCAAGGAUCAUUA